GGUCCAGCAGUACCUUUAAAGACGAAAAGCCUUUGGACCUCAGUCAGAGCGUGAAAAGCCGAAUCAGAGGUGUUUUCUUACCUUUCUAAUCCAGCACACUCAUGAAACCUCUCAUCUCUACUUCGCUGCUACUGCUGCUGCUGCUGUCUGUCUGGUCAGCUUGUGUCUCCUCGCAGCUCAGAGGUCAGGAUGAACAAAUCAGAGAGAUGGAGAGAGAGAUGACCAAAAAGAGGAGUGAAGCAGCUCCUCCUGAGAGCUGCCCACUUGGCAUGUUCUCUGCACUGAGAGAGAUGAGCAGCACUCUGGGAGAGCAUAAAGCUGAGCUCAGACACUCACACACACUCCUCCUAUAGAGGCCAGACUGAGAGAAACCGAGGCCCAGCUUCAACAGCUGAGAACAGAAAACCAAGAGCUUCAAAAAAAAGAUGAAGAACAGGCAAGGAAGUACGAGGAACUGCAGAAAACACUUCAAGGUCAGUCAGAGGAGCUGAGAGUUCUGAAAGACAGAUCCAACAUCACUGAGGACAAAGUAGAGGAUUUGAGAAAAAAUAAUGAAGUGAGGAAGGUGGCAUUCUCAGCUGCUCUUCUGACUACUGGAGAAGGACAUGUCGAACUUUUAGUGUUGAAACAACACUCGUCUUUGCCAAAAUCUUCUCCAAUAUUGGCAGCGCCUACAAUCCAAUUACAGGUAUCUUCACAGCUCCAGUAAAAGGAAUCUAUGAGUUCAAACUCUUUGUCUACAAUCAAGCAACUCCCUCUGUUUCUUCAGGAGCAUCCCUGCAUAAGAAUGAAGAGCGUUUGGUCACUGCUUAUUCUCAUAACGACAGCAGUCAGCAUGUCAGCAGCUCCAACAGUGUGAUCGUACAGAUGGAGGUGGGAGAUGUGGUGUUUGUGAGACUGUGGGCUAACAGAAGGAUAUUUGAUAGUAAACAUCACCACAGCACUUUUAGUGGACACCUACUGUACACCAUGUAAAACAAUGUACAAACAGUGCUCGAAGUAAAAUCUGAAAUAUUGGAACUUUAUAAGUGAAUUAGUGAAUUGGUAUGGUGGGAGAUUUGGUUUGUUUUAUUUAACUGUGGGUAUUUUACUGAUUUCUAUUCAGUAGCAAAUUUCUGUAAUCGAUAUUGUGAAUAAAGUCAUUCAGGGGUUGGACAAUGAAACUAAAACACCUGGUUUUAGACCACAAUAAUUUACUGUUCUGACAGACAGUUCUGGUGGAAACAGGAGGCUUGAGGUGCACAUUGAAUUCUGCCGUGAUUUGAUCAGCCGUGGUUUUAUGUUUUUUGGAUACAAUCCAGGUUAGCAACCGAACAUCCCUUUCAGACAGCUUCCUUCUGCGUCCACAGUUAAUCCUAGUAGAUGUGGUUCAUCCAUCCUGGAUACCAUGGCUCUUGAUACAAGACGUGCACCAACAGUUUGUCCUCUUUUGAACUCUGGUGUGUCACCCAUAAUGUUGUGUUCAUUGCAAUAUUUUGAGCCAAACUGUGCUCUUACCCUGCUAAUUGAACCUUCACACUCUUACUGCUCUUACUGGUGCAAUGUGUAAUUAAUGUAGAUUGGCCACCAGGCUGCUCCAAUUUAACCAUGAAACCUCCCACACUAAAAUGACAGGUGUUUCAGUUUCAUUGUCCAACCCCUGUUUAUCGAUUAUUGAUUUAAUAAAUAAUUAGUGUUUUAUCUUAAUCAAUAAUUAGCAUGAGUAAUAUGUUUUCCUUUAUGAUCUCUGGUUAAUUAUUUUGAGUAAUUCAUAUGUAACUGUGGGUAAAACAACAUAUGUGCUCUGUUUACCUUGGCUAAGAUAGGCCUGUUUACUGUACAUUUAAUCAGUAUUUUGUGUACUAUCUGAUACAUGUGUGAGCUUCCCAAGGGCUGUUUUAAGAUUAGAGCAGGCCUUGAGUCAUCUGGUCAAUCUCGAGAAUGGGCAACACUCACUCAUAAUUGGUGGAAAGGUUUGGGAUGAGGUCCGUUAGUUAAGGCAUAAAGAUUGGCCAGGUCAGACUGGAGUUAAGAACUGGGGGAGGCUAAAACAAGCUGGCUGAGAUCUUCAGGGCUCUGGUAAAUCUGACUAGGAGGAGCAGAUAGCUUUCUGACCAAAACCGACAGGAAGUUUAGUCUGGUUAUCUUGCGUUAGAUAGCAUCACUGUUUGGAUGAAUAAAAAUUACGCUUACAUAACAUCUUUUGAGAAACCCAAGGAGCUUUACAAUUUUCAUGUUCACACACCGGUAAGAAGCGGCAGCCAAUUUACUUAUACACACCGGUGAGAAGCAGCAGCCAAUAGCACACAGCGUACUCUUAACCGGAAACAAGCGUCCACCUGGAGGACAGCAUCGAGCACUACAGCACAGUCAUACAGUACAUAUUAGUGCAGAGUCAUACAUACAUUUACACACAAACAAACUUACAUACAUACCACACACACACAUACACACCAGAUCAGUUUAGAGUAUUUCAUUUUCCAUGUUUUUGGACUGUGGAAAGAAACCAGAGACUUUUUUUCUUGCAUUACAAAUAGACUUUUUUUUGUCCAGAAGAUUCUUUGAAUAAACUGGCAAAGCUAU